GACGAACGCUGGCGGCGUGCUUAACACAUGCAAGUCGGGCGGUAAGGCCCUUUCGGGGGUACGACGAGCGGCGAACGGGUGAGUAACACGUGGGUGACCUGCCCUUAGCUCUGGGAUAAGCCUGGGAAACUGGGUCUAAUACCGGAUAUGACUCCAUGACGCAUGUUGUGGGGUGAAAGCCUUGUGCGGCUAAGGAUGGGCCCGCGGCCUAUCAGCUUGUUGGUGGGGUGAUGGCCACCAAGGCGACGACGGGUAGCCGGCCUGAGAGGGCGACCGGCCACACUGGGACUGAGACACGGCCCAGACUCCUACGGGAGGCAGCAGUGGGGAAUCGUUGCGCAAUGGGCGAAAGCCUGACGCAGCGACGCCGCGU
rnacentral:rRNA from 1 species